GGGAAAUUAACCACUGCAGAAUUGUGGGAUCAUUGGAUUUGAAUAAGGCUACCCUGGCAUAGUUAUCAUCUGAAAAAGCUUACAAUUUCCCAUACUGUAUCAAGAAUGUUAAUGUCAGAAUGUAUUUACAGCAGUUGUAUUAUUGCAGGAUUAUGUGACUGCCAUUUGCAACCUUUCCAGAGGGCUUCUGAUAAGCAGAGCCAAUGAGAGAAACCAGAUUUGUUUAAAUGACCACAGCAAAAAAAAAGUCUGCAAAUCAGGUUUGACUGAUUUAAUGUGGCUGUGGAUGGGGAAAUAACAGACUUCAGCUAAACCCUAGUAAGAUGGAGUGGCUGUGGAUAUCUGGAGAAUCAGGGCCUGGAUUGGAGUUUUAUCAUCUUUAGUUCCAGAUUGCGUAGCACUACCCCAGACAGACCCAUUGCACAAUUUGGGGGUUCCGGUUCUCCUAAAUUUGCAACUCCUGCUUGAACAGCAGGUGGCAGUUGCUUGUUAGACCUGGCAAUGGUGAAUAGAAGGACAGUUGCAGAAAGAAACAGAUGGGUUAAUUCUGGCUGUACAAGAUUAAGCCUUACAAAUGCAUAUAAAACUAGACAACAAAGACAAUGCCAUCUCUGCAAAGAAAUUAAAGAAACAGUGGAUCACUUGGUAUAGGAGUAACAUAAACCCAUGAUGGCGAAUCUAUGGGACGCGUGGCACAGGUGGCAUGCAGAGCCCUCUCUGCUGGCACGUGCACUGUUGCCCCAGCUCAGAUUUUCAUUGGGUUUCUUUCAUGAGCUCCUGUUUCCCUGGAAACGACGAAACAGAAGCUUAUGAAAGAAAAAGAUCUUUCUUUUUACCCCAACACUGAGCUGCCGGUAUUGGGAUGCCCCACCUCCGCUGGUCAGCUAGUCUUCGGGCCUCUGCUGUAUAUGCGUGAUUGUGUGUGCAUGUGCAAACUGCGCACUUGCACAUGUGCACAGUUUGGGCACUCAGUAUCCAAAAGGUUCAGCAUCACUGGCAUAGACUGAUUGCGAACAAUGGCAUGACAACCUAGCAACAAUGGUGCAUUGGAACAUCUGCAAGAAAUACUAUCUGUCUGCAAGCAAGAACUGAUGUGGUAAUAAAAUAGAGAAAGUGAUAGAAAAUGAAGACGCUAAAGUGCUCUGGAACCGGCAAUACAAUACCCCAAGCUUAAUAAUUGUCAAUAAAAAAUAAAUAAAAUGUAUGGAUAGUGGAUGUGGCACUAUCUGGAGGCAGCAGAAUAGAAAGAACUGGAGAAGAUAACAAAAUAGAAAGACCAGUAAAUAGAAUUAGAGCAACUGUGACAAAAGAAAGCAAAGGUAAUACUAAUAGUAGUUGUAGGCGCCUUGGGUGCAAUCCCAAAACAACCGGUGUACCACCAUCGGCAUUGACAAAGUCACCAUCAGUCAAUUGCAAAAGGCAGCUUUACUUGGAACAUCCUGCGACAAUACUUUUAACACCAUCAAACACCAUCAUCUCCUUAUCCAGAAUUUUGGGAAGAAUUGUUAAGUGGAUAAAAAUACUACAACCUAUCUGAACAUCUGGCUGACUGUGACAAACCAUAAUAAUAAUAUAAUAAUAUAUAAUAUAAUAAUAAUAACAACCACAUAGCAACGGAAGCUCCAGGCCCAAUUAUAGUAAAAAGUCAAGAACUACCUGUAUUCUUUUGGUAUGAACAUCGUUUUCUAUGCAAAAUGCAAAAACAAGAUGCAUGCAUGCGCCUUUCAAUUUCUGAAAAUAUUCGAGAAUGAAUUUUGUGAAAUUGUGUUCCUGCAAUCAUUCAAAACUGCUAAAUUGGAAAAAAUUGAGAGCCGAUCUAGUUUUCAGAGAUUUGAUUCUUUUUUCACAUGGAUUUUCAAGGAGUCAAAUGUAUAAACAUUUGACAUUUAAUUUCAGAAUAAAUAGAUCUAAUCUAAUUGAUCCAAUUUCAUGUAGAUCACAAGGUCAGCUGGCUUAAAGAUGCGGCUUCUUUUCCUAAAAUAGAUUUAGUACAUGUUUUUCAUGGAUAGGAUAGACAAAUAGUUACUGUGAAAAUUGCUUCAAACCCACUUUAUUUAUUAGAUUUAUUAGAUUUUUUUAUUUAUUAGAUUUGGGAUCUCUUAAGCACCUUCUCAAGAAAAUCACUGGCUGCACUCACACAAACACAUUGGGGACUUAGAGAAUGGUUUAUAGAAUCUUGUAUCUAAUUCUAACAAAGUUCAUCAAUUUUAACGUAUUAUGGAUUAUGAAUUCCAAUACUUACGAAUGCCAAGCCAUUUACUUGGCUAAAAAUAUUUAAUUGCAUUAGCUAAUCCUGUAUUUGCUACAAAUAUUCUCUUGUUGUUUAAUUUUAAUAUUAUGUCUUUAUAACACCUGGAAGUGCUGUUGAAAGGUCAGAAUGCUUAACUAAAUAACUAAAUGACAAUUGUUUGGUAGAUAAAAUAUAUGCAUGGCUUGUUUGAGCUAUUCUGCUUCAAACAACUACAUGAGUGUUGAAAUAUUGAACCAUUUGAAAUAAUUUUAUCUAUUUUAAUCUCUUGCAACAUAAUUGAAGUUAUCAUUAGUAUGUGUUUCCACAAAUUGUGUGUCUGUGUCUGUGUAAUAUAAUCUACACGGGUCCCACCGUAAGAAGCUAAUAUUUCUUUUGUGCAUUAAAAUAUGUUCCAGCUCUCAAAAAUAUCACCACCAUAUAGUUUCCCUGAUUAGAUGCCUUCUAAACAUAGGAUUGAGAUCGCUAUUCACUAAAUUAACUGCCUGAGAAUUGUUUAAAGAACUAAAAAGACUGUCCUAAGAGAGUUAACAUUUUAGAAGAUAAGAAACAUUUUGUGAGAAAAUUUUUUGCUUUGUGAAUUAUUGAUAUUAUAUCUUCUGUCUGUUAAGGCAUUAGUAUGUAAAGCAGCAGCCCCCAACCCUUUGGGCACCAAGAACUGGUUCCACAGAGGGUUUUUUCUGCAGACUAGAGGGAGCGUUUUGUGUGCUGCCUGCAUCCCGCGGAUGGGGCUUUACUUGUCUAGCUGCCCUGCAUGGUGCUGGUCCAAGGAUAGAGUUGGGGACCCCUGAUGCUAGCCAAGAAGAGUUAUAAUAUGUGAUUUCUCUCUCUCUCUCCUCACAUAUCUUUUCAACUAUAACUACCGUACUUUUUGGAGUAUAAGAUGCACUUCCCCCCCCAAAAAAAGAGAGUGGAAAUGUUGGUGCGUCUUAUACAUCAAAUACAGCCAUUUUUGGCCCGAAACCCCACCCCACGUGUCCUGUUUUAGCCAAAAACAGGCCUUUUUUUUGACAAAACGGGAUAAACAGAGGAUUUGGGAACCUGCAGUGCUCCUGGGGGCCAGGGAGGUCAAAAACCAGAUGUGCGGAGGCCAAAAACUAUUUUUUUUCUUGUUUUUCUAUUCAAAAUCUUGGUGCAUCUUAUACUCCAGUGCAUCUUACAGUCCAAAAAAUAGGGAUACUUGGAUUUCAUGAGCACCAUGGAAGUGUGGAAAAUCAAGUGCUAGGAUCUCCUGCAUUCUUGGUUCAAGGACAUGAAAUUUAAGAAGUGUUAUCCAUUUUGAUCAAAACAAAAAUACAACGGCAAAGCCUUCCAUAGAGAGGCUCAAAAAAGUCAGAAUGGAAGCUAUGACCCUGUAAUUGUUGUUGCCCUCUUGACUUUUUUUGAUGCCUAGGUUCAAAGCAGUGGAAUAAUCUGGAGGCAUUAGCCUCUGCCUUUGUUGAGGAUUCUGCGGCCAAAGGGAUGCAAGAUUCUUUCUGCAUUUAUACUCAAACCUCUAUUGAAUGUUACCAUAUCUUAGUCUUAUCAGUGAAUACUUAUUGUCUAAAGUUAUUUUCUUUUGCUUUGUUCAAUAAAUCUUUUGGGCUUUUAUUCAUUUAUGUUUUAUUGCAUUUGAAUCCACAGACUUCCUCUCCACAUUUUACUGUGGCAAAAUAGCAUCCAGAUAGAGGAAAGGAUGGAAAUUGCUUUUUCAAUCCAAAGACAGAGGACAAAGAAUCUGCUGAAAAUGAAUGGUGGCUGGAAUCAACAAAGCCAGGAUAGAAUGCCUAUAGAAACUGACUUCUUAAAGCAACAGUCAUCCCCUGCUUGAGACUGACAAAUGUAGGCUUAUAAUUGGAAAUGUUUUAAACUUAUUCACAGUGACAAGGCUAAUCAGAAUCUUGAAUAAGAAGGAAGGACUCUUUAUUUCUUCACAGUUGGUGCCCAAUAUAAUCCCAUCUUGGUUAUUGGAAAAACUGGACCCAAGAUCAAUGCUAUGAAGUUCAAAUAAUAUUUCCACAGUCUUACUCCACAUUCUUGCAAACAAGUGAAUAUUUAAUGGACUGAGUUACUCUACAAUUGAGGAGGAGAAGAUUUCAAUACAAGCACCGGACUGUAUUUCAGUUUUACUCACCGUAAGUUUUAGGAUAUUUCCCAUCUAAUGACUUUGUAUUUGUGUAUUAAACUUGCUAACAGUGGUGGGAUUCAAAUAAUUUAACAACCGGUUCUCUGCCCUAAUGACUGGCCGGGUAGGCAUGCCAUGGUCAUGUGAUUGGGUGGGUAUGGCCAACUUGACAUCACUCAUUACACCCAGCCUUGCCUCAUGGCCACUUGCCUCAAAGGCAGAGGUGGGAUUCAGCCGGUGCAGACUGGUUUGGGUUAUCCCACCCCUGACUGGCCCUGGCUGACCCCGUUUUUCAGCCCGUUUUGAAGUCCACAAGUUUUAAAGUUGCCAAGAUGGGAUACCCCUAAACAAGAUGUUCUGAUAGAUCAGUGCUUUUCAAAUUUGGCAACUUUUAAGUUGUGUAUGGGUGGGGACGAGGGCAGCCAGUGGUGGGAUUAGCUGUUGUGCUGAACGGGGCAGAAUUUUAACAACUGGUUUACCUGAACCUGUCCGAACUGGCUAAAGCCCACUUCUGCAUGCUAACAACCAUCAUUAUUGCCAAUUAAGACUCAUACUUCAGGGUUGGAGAGCCUUGGAGAGCUGCAACUACAAGGAGAAGAAUCAACAAUUAAAAAAAAUAUUACUGUGACCAAUUUGAUCUCUGCAAGGAAGAGUUAUGUGUGUCAAACUGUAGCUUGUAAAAGAUAAUCUGAUAAUUAGUAGCAAACAAGCUUAUAAGUAUUCUAUGUCCCUUCCUAUGCUGAAACUAAGGAAAGAAUCGAAAGCUAUGUGCUAUUUACUGUAAAGAAAAUUUCCUACCUGUAUCAGCAUGCAGAUCUAAACAGCUGGGAGAAAUACUUUGAACAAUAGAUGAGUCACAGCUGAAACUUUAAUCCCCAGAACUAUUUAUUUAGGAUCCCAGAUCACUUUUAGACCGGUCUUCUAUUUUUACAUCCUUCAUCCAGUGGGUAUUUAGAAGGCCCAUGGCCUCCAGAAAUGCUUUUGGUUAAACACAAAUGGCAAUUAAAGAGAAAAAGCAAGUGUUUUCUUCCAUGAAAUUCAUUUGCUAUACAUUAGGAUUUUAAAAAAUAAUUAUGCACUGUGGCAGCAGUCAUUCCUUUUGGUCAAAAAAGUUCACAUCUUCAGCAAAUGCAAUUGUUGUACACCAUCAAAGAUAUUUGAAUGACUCAGAAAUAGGCUUCUUCAGUGUGCAUGUAUUAUUAUUUUUAUCUGCAGUUUAUUUUUUACAUUCUCAGCAUGAUUGUUGAUAACAAAGAAAAUAUGCCAAUAGCAUGAGAUAUUUGAAAUAUGGUCAAUAAGAACCCACUCAUCCUGUUUAAAGAUUUAUAUGAUAAAGAUUGGCUUGGGAUAGAACUUCUGAAGGACUUUUUCUUGAACAAAAUAAAUUUUCAGAACUUUUUUUUAAUAGUCAAAACAAGAUUCAAUGAAUAGAAUAACUCGAUGAAUCACAAAGCUGAACAUUUUUUUUCCUAGAUAAAAAUGGCAAUAGUAGGAAUUUCCAUGGAUAUAUAGUACAUUAUAUAA